UACAUGCAAGUCGAGCGGACAGAAGGGAGCUUGCUCCCGGAAGUCAGCGGCGGACGGGUGAGUAACACGUAGGUAACCUGCCCCUUAGACUGGGAUAACUCCGGGAAACCGGAGCUAAUACGGGAUAAUAAAGAGAAUCACCUGAUUCUCUUUUGAAAGACGGUUUCGGCUGUCACUAAGGGAUGGGCCUGCGGCGCAUUAGCUAGUUGGUAAGGUAACGGCUUACCAAGGCGACGAUGCGUAGCCGACCUGAGAGGGUGAUCGGCCACACUGGGACUGAGACACGGCCCAGACUCCUACGGGAGGCAGCAGUAGGGAAUCUUCCGCAAUGGACGAAAGUCUGACGGAGCAACGCCGCGUGAGUGAGGAAGGCCUUCGGGUCGUAAAGCUCUGUUGUGAGGGAAGAACAAGUACCGGCGUAACUACCGGUACCUUGACGGUACCUCACCAGAAAGCCACGGCUAACUACGUGCCAGCAGCCGCGGUAAUACGUAGGUGGCAAGCGUUGUCCGGAAUUAUUGGGCGUAAAGCGCGCGCAGGCGGCUUCUUAAGUCUGAUGUGAAAUCUCGGGGCUCAACCCCGAGCGGCCAUUGGAAACUGGGAAGCUUGAGUGCAGAAGAGGAGAGUGGAAUUCCACGUGUAGCGGUGAAAUGCGUAGAUAUGUGGAGGAACACCAGUGGCGAAGGCGACUCUCUGGUCUGUAACUGACGCUGAGGCGCGAAAGCGUGGGGAGCAAACAGGAUUAGAUACCCUGGUAGUCCACGCCGUAAACGAUGAGUGCUAGGUGUUAGGGGUUUCGAUGCCCGUAGUGCCGAAGUAAACACAUUAAGCA
rnacentral:rRNA from 2 species